ACAAAAGCCCGCUGGAUAUUUGUGUUUGGUCCUAGCUACACGGAGACGUGGAACUAUGUGUUUUUGUUUUCCUUGCAAUGUUCGUGCCAAAGAGACGUGGUUCAAGUUACAAAUUGCUUUCCAAUUUUAGCUAAUAUGUUGUAUUCAAUAUUUCCUAUCAGGUAUCUCACUCGAAUCGGAAAAACUUAAGCCAUAAAGAAGCUAUUGUAAUCAGGGGAUAUGCAUGUGCGAAGGACUAGAGGUUUCUUGCUAUCUCAGAUCGAUUCAAUUGUACUUAGUCAAUUUAAAUGAAUACCUUAUGUGUGCAGCCUGCAUGUUUCUUGUUAUGCUAUAAUGAUCCUGUGAUCCCUUUCCUGUUCAACAAUAGGUAAUCAUGAUUUAAGUUGAAAAAAUAAAUUAACAAGGUUUUUUUUUUCUCCUGCCUUUGGUAUGUUCAAAGAUCUUAUAUUGAGGACGGAAAAAAGUUUGUCAAUUCAAAUCCUAACUAAUAAGCAGACUAUUAGUGCUAGAAGGCCUUGUCAUAUAUGCAGCUUGAUUGUUUCCUGAUAUUUCUUUUACGGAGGCAAAGAAUAGGUUUAUUUCUUCACACUUUCUCAUACUUAUGUGUCUUCUUUGCUCUCUCAGCAGGUGACUCGUGCUAACCAUUCCACCACCAAGAAGCAGUACUCGUCGCUAUAUGUUGUAACAUAGGCACCUUUUGCUAUCUCUUGCACGUCGUGUGUAUGAACCAGUGCACUACAAGAUGAGCUGCACAAAGGUGCCAAUAAAUGGAUUUCACACUAGCGUAUUGGAGUUUGUAGCAGAAGAAGGCAAUGAAAUAUUGCGAGUUGAUCAUCUGGAGGAUUGGAGAUAUUUCACAGGCCACAAGAGAUAAAUAUAAUGAAGGGCUAUUGUGCGAGUGACAUGCAGACCAAGGGGCAGAAGGCACAAUAGAGGAAUUUAUUUUAUUUCUUGUAGUAUUAGAUUAAGGUGUGAACUUUUUUUGCCACCAAGCCUAUGGCUAGCUAGUUGUCUUAAUGUUCACUUUGUAUCAAGCUGAUGUAUGUAACUCAUAUUGUAUUUCUAAAUUUCAAUUAAUAAUUUUUUGAUUUA